UCGAGAAUCAUUCACAAUGGGCGAAAGCCUGAUGGUGUGACGCCGCGUGGAGGAUGAAGGUCUUCGGAUUGUAAACUCCUGUCAAGUGGGAGUAAAGCUGCGCGUUAACUGCGUCGCAGUCUGAGAGUACCACUAGAGGAAGAGACGGCUAACUCUGUGCCAGCAGCCGCGGUAAUACAGAGGUCUCAAGCGUUGUUCGGAAUCACUGGGCGUAAAGGGUGCGUAGGCUGCGGUGCAAGUCAGAUGUGAAAUCCCGGGGCUCAACCUCGGAAUUGCAUCCGAUACUGCAUCGCUUGAGGACUGGAGAGGAGUCUGGAAUUCAUGGUGGAGCAGUGAAAUGCGUAGAUAUCAUGAGGAACACUAGUGGCGUAGGCGAGACUCUGGACAGUUCCUGACGCUGAGGCACGAAGGCCAGGGGAGCAAACGGG
rnacentral:rRNA from 1 species